CCUCUUCCUCUUCCUCUGCAGAGUGAUUGCAGCGUCCAGCUCCAGUCCAUCCGAGACACUGACACCAGGCUAUGACAGUCUGAGUCUCUACAGGUUUAAUUUUAGCAAACAGGAAGAAAUGCUGAGGAGCAUAGACUUUGACAAAGUUGUAGAAGACAUUUGUGAAGAACCAGAAGUCAAUCCAGAUCCAGAAGAACCCAAAGGACCUUUAAUCCAGAACACAGAACCAGAACUAUGUCAGGAGCCGUUAAUCCCGGACCGUCACGCUUUGGGAGAACCGGAUGAAGAGCCACUUCCACCUCCCAUCUCUCCACCAGUGGAACCAUUACAGCUUGAUGAACUGGGAGCUGACCCAGAUGCUGCAGCUCCUGGCCCAGCGGCCGGGUUCUUUAGAGUCUGCUGGAGAACAUUUGCAGCUGGAAACUGAUGGUCCAGGUUCUGGUGACGUUGGAACCGGGUCAGGUUAAGGUGGAGAGAAAGGUGGAGCGGGUUGGGGCCGAGGACACGGCAGCCUGUGAGAGAGGAAAACCUCAGGAAAGACCAGGAGGGGAUGAACACUCAGCAGAUUGUCACACUGGUCUUCUACCUUUUGGGCUUGCUGGUCAUCCUGCUGAGGUUCUGGUCUUACAUCGGCUGUUUUAUUUACUUGUGAACCCAGAAGAGAGAGACGGACAUGAAUCAGCGCCUCCACGCAGAAGAAUACAGAGAACCAGAGCUGUCCUUCCUCCGGUUCUCCUCGCCUUUCAUCAUCCUCCUCCUCGGUUCUGGUCCUGGUUCUUGGUAGAUCCAGUUUCUGUGUCUCUCAGCUGCAGCAGGAGCGGAAAAAUGAGGCUCUUUUGCUUCAUUCAUGAUCAUUUUUAAAACCCAAAGUGCCACAGGAAGUUAUUUUCUGUAUUAUUUUAGUUGUUUUGAUUUGCUGCAAACUGCAGAUUGUUUCUUGUUUUUGUCCAAACUUUGGUCUUGGUGUAAAAAUCUAAGGGUGUCUCAGUACAUUUUGGGUUUUUUUACUAGCUCGAAUUGCUGGAUGGAAACUUUAGAACAAAUCAGAUUUGCAGAUUUGAUCGUGUAAAACGUGUUUUUGUAGAUUUUGGGGGAUUAAAACAUAAAGUCACGCGUUUCUAAUCUCAGAAUGAGUUAAAAUAUAAAGACAAAUCCCAUCAAAACAUGCCUCUGAUGUCAUUUAUCCACCAAAGUUUUAGAAACGGAUGUCCUUCAACGGUUGGAGGCUGUAGCUUCCGGUUUGGGCGGCACGUCUUCAAAAUAAAAGCAUUGAAAUGUCGCCACGUAUGUCUAAAUAGUAAAACCAGUAUUUGUACUUGA